CCCGCCCGUCCCAGAGCAGCGGAGGCCCGCCCUUUUCAUCUACAGCCUAUCGCAGAGCACGUUGCCGUUCGCGCUGACCAAUAGGAGUGGUGGCCAUCACGGCAAGCCCCGCCCCGCGCCCUACGUCGGGUUAAGCGGGGUCCCUCGCCAGCCCCGCGCUGAACAUACGCCAGGUGGCGCUGUGGCGCGCGGCGGGGCUGUGUGCGCUGAGGCUGCUGAGCGGCGGGUGAGACGCUACCGUCGGCGGCUAGAAGUGCUCGGCUGCUGGCACCCGGGAGAGGAAGGUCCAGGGCGGGCCGGAGACGUAGGGGUCCGCGUCCCUGCGCCCAGGCCUGGCAGCUCCCCGCACUGUGGGCGCCCCGCACCCCAAGCCCCUGCCAGGGCCUUCCUUGGGCUCCCGCAUCCGAGGCUCUGAGACCGGAGUACGACGGAGCUCCUGCGCCUUCCGGGGCUGGGGGCCGGGCCCGCCCGUGCCGCUCCUGGCGGGGCCCUCCAUUGGCGUGAGCUUUAAUGGGGGUAGUAAAUGGGGCCGGCAGUUGCGGUUCUCGCUGAUGGCUUUGCUCCUAGUUCAUCGUUGUUGGAGGCCGAGUCCUUAAGAGACCCGAGGCGCCCACUGCCCGCUCUUAAAGUCCGGCUGUGUUCAGAGAACUGAAGCCUCCCGGAAUUUAACUGUUUAGGUUUUUUAAUGACUGAAUUUAUGGGGAAAAGACGAAGCGGUUUAGUGUUCAUGAGACGGGAUCUUGCUCUGUUGCCCAGGCUGGUUUUGAACUCCUGGGCUCAAGUGAUCCCCCUCCUCAGCCUCUCACACUGCUGGGCUUACAAGUGUAAGCCAUCUCAUCCAGACACGCACACCGCAGAGCGUGGCCAUGGAACAGUAACCGGGCUUGUGAGAGGGCUCUACAGUAUCAACUAGGAGACAAGAUCCACGGAUUCACUGUCAACCAGCAUAGGAACUAAAAAUGACAACACUUCACAUAUUUGGCCAGCUGUUGGCUCUGUGCUAUGGUUGAUGUUACAGCAAAUUUAAAAGACAAAACUUACUGUCUAGAAAGACUGAUGUGGCUGUGACUGGAGGCACAUGGUGGACGCCAUGCGGAGGGCCAAGGACAAGGGUGGGAGCUGCUGCUGCUGCUGGGGGGAGAGGGAAGAGCUCCUGGAGAGGGUGUUGUGAGAAAGCAGCUGCCUCUGGGCAGGGCUCCAGCAAGGGAGCCAGGGCAGUGACUAGGGGGUCCCAGGCAAGGUCCAGGCAUGGGAGUCCUGACAACAGACUCAGAGCAUUUGUGAAAUCCUGCGAAGGCUGGGCAAAGACACCUGGGUUUAUAGUACUGGUUACUAUUACUAAAGGCCUCACCCAGAGUGGUAGAUUCUUCUCCUUUAUUUUUCAAAUUUUAUAGAAAUGUACUUUUUUGAGAUUGGGACUCACCCUGUCGCCCAGACAGGAGUGUAGUGGCAUGACCUUGGCUCACUGCAGCCUCAAACUCCUGGGCUCAAGCGAUCCUGUCACCUCAGUCCCCCAAAUAACUGGGACAACGUGCCCCCAUGCCUGGCUCAUUGUGUGUAUGUGUGUGUGUGUGUGUAGGUGGAAACUUGCUUUGUUGUCUAGGCUGGUCUCAAACUCCUGGGUUCAAGCAAUCCUCUUGUCUUGUGUAUUAGUCUAAUCUCACACUGCUGUGAAGAAAAACCCAAGACUGGGCAAUUUAUAAAGAAUGAGCUAAAAAGUAAAGAGGUUUCAUUGACUCCCAGUUCUGCAUGGCUGGGGAGGCCUCAGGAAACUUACAAUCAUGGUGGAAGGCACCUCUUCACAGGGUGGCAGGGAAGAGAAUGACAAGUGAAGGGGCAGCGCCUUAUAAAACCCUCAGAUCUCGUGAGAACGUACUCACUGUCACGAGAAUAACAUGGGGGAACCCCCCUCAUGAUCAAUUACUCCUACCAGGUCCCUCCCACA
rnacentral:lncRNA from 1 species